GCUUACGGCCAUACCACUCUGAGAACGGCUGAUCUCGUCUGAUCUCGGAAGCUAAGCAGGGUCGGGCCUGGUUAGUACUUGGAUGGGAGACCGCCUGGGAAUACCAGGUGCUGUAAGCU